AUGGAGUUACGAUUUUUGGUUCGUGGUUACCUUUGUCUUUUUCUCCUCUUCUUUCUGUGCAAGGAAUUUGCAGGAAUGAAAGGAAAUGACCCAGGGAGUCCGCGAAGCCCGAGGAGUCCGGGCAGCCUGAGGAGCCCGAGUAAACUGAGUAGCUCAAGUAGCCUGAGGAGUCUAAGUAGGCAACGGAGCCUCGGUUUAGUCGGUAAAGUCCUUUCAUUCAACAAAGGUGACGCCAUCAUCACUAGCUGGAUUCCAAGCAGAUUCGGGGUCUUUAGACCGUUCCAAUGGAUGUACGCCGUCGACAAUGACAACGUAAUAGUCUUCCAACCUGAUUCCUAUUGGAGACUUCGCAGCGUUAUGAGACCAGCCAUCGUCAACUUCCGCCAGGAGUACCCGACUGCGCUCGCGAUCAACUUGGGGAAACUGCCAGGGUACAUCGGGGCACCAGGAACCUUCUUGGCUGCGGCGAUGCUGGAUGAUAAGAAGAACCGGUUCCACUAUCAUGCUAAAUACUGCAACAGCAGACAUUACGUGGAAUACUUGUCGACUGGAAAAGUCACGGGGACUUAUCCUUCGCCUUUGAUAAUGGACCCAUGGUGCCCUCUGACGGCGCCACUCACGCCAGGAAUGGGGAGGAAGUUCUCGAUGAUAGGGACGUUCAGAAUGAAACCUGCGGAAGGUCCGGAGAUCAAGGUGUCCUUUCGAUCUAAGCCGGAUUGGGCCAUGUUCCUUGAGACUACGGAACCAGAAGAGCCGUAUGCUGUGAUAAGGCACGACAUUGAAGACUCAUUACCUUAGGGAGAAUUCCCGGUAUAAAAUAAGUUUGAAAAUCAUUAUUGUACUGACAGAUUUAGAUCGCUAAAUAUAUAACGAAAAAAUUAGUUUUGAUAUAUAAGUUCGACAAACCUUUAUUUUGAUUAACGAAAGAGUGCGUUUCUAUGUGGACACCUGCUGCAAGUGAAAAAUUUGAAAGCAUAAAUUGAAACCUUGAUUUGAUAACAAAUCUAGGGUGGAGAGCUUUUUAAAAGGGUCCGAAACCAUUAGUGAGCUACAGAACACCGAGCAUGCCUCGCUUCAUGUCUAUGGCGGUAGCACCAUCAGUCAAUGGAGAUAAGGACCAGUUUAGAUGUAUCAGAUCCGUCCCUGUUUUGAAAGAGAAUGUAAAAAAUCGCGAUAUGGGAAACAUUUUUGGUUUUCUUUUUGAGGAGAAGCUCCCCCUAAUUUUGUCCGGAAUAAAAUAACGGGGCAGGAAAAUUGCAUCAUGUUCACUUAGUAUGAAUGGUCAUAUUGCAAACGAUAGAAACGAGAGAGAUUAUCGAUUAGUACUUAGGUUUGCGUCACAACCUCUCAUCACAUCUUAAUUCAACGUAGAAAACCGAGCAUUUUAAAAUAUGUUAGGUUCCGCAUUAAUUUGUCUGCAAAAUACUAAAAACAUCCACUAUAAUAUUUCUUACAUUUUUCAGAUCGUUUUCAUUUGUAAAAAUAAAGUAAAAGCUGAUUUUUUAAAAAUAUCUGAAGCGUAAUGCGUCUUUCCUUUUCUUUG
rnacentral:lncRNA from 1 species